UCCUGGUUUCCCAGGCAGUCCCAUCAGAGUGCCCAUAAAAAUGGUUGCAACUGAUGGCAAGAGUUGCGCUCGUUAUAGGACUUAACCCAACAUCUCACGACACGAGCUGACGACAGCCAUGCAGCACCUGUGUACUUGUUUAGACCGAAGCCUAAAAGAUCGUAUUUCUACAACUGUCAAGUACAUGUCAAACCUAGGUAAGGUUCCUCGCGUAGUGUCGAAUUAAACCACAUGUUCCACCGCUUGUGCGGGCCCCCGUCAAUUCUUUUGAGUUUUAGUCUUGCGACCGUAGUCCCCAGGCGGAUCACUUAACGCGUUAGCUCCGACACUGAUCCCGCAAAGCAGGACCAACAUCAAGUGAUCAUCGUUUACAGCGUGGACUAC
rnacentral:misc_RNA from 1 species